rnacentral:lncRNA from 1 species
ACCGGAUAUUGAUUGAGUCAGUUUUUUUGUGAAAACAUUAAAUAAGAGAAUAAGAAAUCAACAUUGACCUUUGAUAAAAACAAAUCGAGAAAACAGUGUGCAGCUUAAAUUGUUGGAAAUGGGAUUACGACUUAGUUUUAGAAACUUCUUAGUUUUUAUUGCGAUAUUCGCUGAAUUAGCUCAAGAUUACCAAAUUGAAUGUCGACGUGGGGGGUUCAGAGUCAGAAGUGGAGGGGGAUCAAGUGCCUCUGGUAGUAUAUGGUGGAUAUAUAUGGUUGCUGGUGGAGGAGCACUUCUCCUUCUGAGCGCUGUCUUGUAUAUUUGCAAAAUGUGCCGAUAGCUGUAUAUGUGUCUUAUUGGACAUGCAAUUUUGUGUCGUAAACAUAUGCUUACUUCCCUGUGCCCAAAACAAUCGCUCUAGUUGAGCUGUUGUACGGCCCUUUGUUUCAGAUAUGUUGUUAAUUUAGACCUGUAGGAUUUCGUUUUCAACAUAUAUAUAUUUUCAGACUUAAACUAUAUUUGGUAUCAUUGUAAUUCUUUUCAAGAUGUAAUUAAUCAUUUCUUUACUAUUUGUUAUUAAUUACUUGUUACUAGUAUGUACUUGCUUAGAAAGGUUCGUCAAAGCGUAUGUUAACUGGAUUAUGUUUUGCCGACACUGAAUAAAUCUGAUCUUAAUCUACUUGUUAAGUCUACAUGUACGUAACUACAGUGUUUGAAUGUCGGGAAUUGAUGACUGGAUUAUACGGGGGAUAAAAUACACUGUGGAUAUAUUUAUUCCUUCAAUAUAGUUGCUGGGUUACCAAUUAUAAAUAGAAAGCUAAUCCGUUGCACACUAUACGAUCAAACCGAGUCUUUUUAUUAUCCAGCUGGAUUGCGAAAGGUCAAUGGUUCUACCCAAGUGCCGCUCGUGAUGAAAUUAUUCCCGGAUGGGCACCAGGGAUCUUCCUCUACUACGAAAGAUUGGUAAGUCGCCAUAUGAUCUAUAACAUCCAGAGACUCAACUUUAGUUCGUAAGUGCCUUGAAGCGGCCGUAAAAUGUAUCCCCGUACUUGGACUCAGUGUUGU